CUCUAUCUGCUCUGGGUCCCUCAUCUCGAUUCUCUGCUGUACUCUACUGCAGUGGCUCUGGCAAUCAGAAACUGUGAAAUAGAAAUUUCAUGUGGGGCGAUGAGAGUAAUACAUUUGGGCAGGAGCCCUUUGAGUACCUCUCCACUGAGAUUAGGCAAAAGAGUUUCAUACUCUGCUGGCUGAAGCCUUUCACCUGCCUACCAAACUUUGUGAAUACAGCAAAUUAAAUUAGUAUGGUUACUCUGGCUGCUGCUUAAGAACCUAGAGGUUUGGCAGAGAAGGAGUAG
rnacentral:lncRNA from 1 species